AACGAACGCUGGCGGCAUGCCGAACACAUGCAAGUCGAACGAGACCUUCGGGUCUAGUGGCGCACGGGUGCGUAACGCGUGGGAACCUGCCCUUAGGUUCGGAAUAACUCCCCGAAAGGGGUGCUAAUACCGGACAAUGUCUUCGGACCAAAGAUUUAUCGCCUUUGGAUGGGCCCGCGUUGGAUUAGCUAGUUGGUAGGGUAAAAGCCUACCAAGGCGACGAUCCAUAGCUAGUCUGAGAAGAUGAUCAGCCACACUGGGACUGAGACACGGCCCAGACUCCUACGGGAGGCAGCAGUGGGGAAUAUUGGACAAUGGGCGAAAGCCUGAUCCAGCAAUGCCGCGUGAGUGAUGAAGGCCUUAGGGUUGUAAAGCUCUUUUACCCGGGAUGAUAAUGACAGUACCGGGAGAAUAAGCUCCGGCUAACUCCGUG
rnacentral:rRNA from 1 species